rnacentral:rRNA from 1 species
GACGAACGCUGGCGGCGUGCUUAACACAUGCAAGUCGAACGGACAGGCCCUGCUCUUGUUGGUUGCUUGAGUGGCGCACGCGUGAGUAACACGCGUGUAACCUGUCCUUGACUGUCGGAUAACUUCAGGAAACUCGGGCUCAUACCGGAUAGGAUCUCCUGAUGCACGGUGGGGGUUGGUAAGAUUCGGCUGUUGGGGAUGGUCUAGCUGCUUAUCAGCUUGUUGGUGUGGUAGUGGCUUACCAAGGCUAUGACGGAUAGCCGACCUGAGCGGGUUACCGGCCACAUUGGGACUGAGAGACGGCCCAGACGCCUACGGGAGGCAGAAGUGGGAAGUAUGGCACAAUGGGGGGGAGCCUGAUGCAGCAGCGCCGCGUGCGGGAAGACGGCCUUCGGGUUGUAAACCGAUUUCGCCGGAGACGAAGCGUGAGUGACGGUAAUGGGUAAAGAAGCACCGGCUAACUACGUG